GUCCACGCCGUAAACGAUGGGUGCUAGGUGUGGGGGGUGUCGACUCCCUCCGUGCCGAAGCUAACGCAUUAAGCACCCCGCCUGGGGAGUACGGCCGCAAGGCUAAAACUCAAAGGAAUUGACGGGGGCCCGCACAAGCAGCGGAGCAUGUGGUUUAAUUCGACGCAACGCGAAGAACCUUACCUAGGCUUGACAUGCACGGGAAUGUCCGGGGAAACUCGGCAGUCCUUCGGGACUCGUGCACAGGUGUUGCAUGGCUGUCGU
rnacentral:rRNA from 1 species